rnacentral:lncRNA from 1 species
AUUAAUCUGAAGUAAAUUAAUUAAGAAGCUGAUUAAAGAUUAACAGUAAUAAACAAAAAGUUAAGUUUAUGUAGUGUUUACAUUUUGACAAAGAGCACGUGUUGAACGCGGCUACGACACGACACAAGAAAAGAGAAAAACAAAAAAAACAUAUGUACCAUAAUUUAACACGUCAUCUCCUUAACGCCGAGCGCGUCCAAUGCUGACGUCGUUCCUCCAACGACAGAUCUAAAAAAGUUACAUAAUUAAAAAAAGUUAUACAGUAAAAAUAAAUAAAAAAGAGGUGCG